CCUGGCCUGGCCUCCCAAAGUGCUGGGAUUACAGUCAUGAGCUACCAUGCCCAACCAGCAUCAGAUUCUUUAAAGCUCCGCAAGGGGAGUCCAAUAUGCAGAUGAGAUUGAAAGUGACUGAUGUAGACCAGGUCCUGGGGAUCUUGUGAAAAUGCAGAUACUGCCUCCCUAGACCUGGAGUAGGGGCACAAGAUUCUUUCUAAUGUGCUUCCAGGUGAUGUUGAUGCUGAUGGUCUGCUGACCACAUCUUGAGAAAGGAGGGAAGAGCCAUCUGAUGGAUUCUCUGGCUACAUAAAAAGAGCUGAGAUAGCAAAGUCAGACAGACCUGGAGGAGAGCAAGGGUAGUGACCAGGCAUAUGAUUACUGGAGUAAAUUGCCUGGCACCCUUUCUUCCUAGUGAUGUGACCUUGGGCUAGUUAUUUAAAGUUGCCUUCAUCUGAUGAUGGAGAUAUAACAUAAUAUAAUACAUAGGGUGGGUGUGAGAACUGAGCAGAACACCACGGACACCGUGGUACGCAUGUGUGAGUUAUUAGCAUUAUUAUUACGUAUCCCAAUUCCACCACUUACUAGCUUUGUGCUGUUGGUAAGUGUAUUAGUCCAUUCUCACACUGCUGUAAAGAACUACCUGAGACUGAGUAAUUUAUAAAAAGGACGGUUAAUUGACUCACAGCUCUGCAAGCUAUACAGGAGGCAUGUCUGGGAAGGCCUCAGGAAACCUACAAUCAUGGCAGAAGGCGAAGUGGAAGCCAGCAAGUCUUAUGUGGUAGGAGCAGGAGGAAGAGAGAGCAAAGGGGGAAGUGCUACGCACUUUCAAACAACCAGAUCUUGUGAGAACUCACUCGCUAUUGUGAGAAAAGCAAGGAGGAAAUCCACCCCCAUGAUCCAAUCACCUCUCACCAGGUCUCUCCCCCAACAUUGGGGAUCACAAUUCAACAUGAGAUUUGGGUGGGAACACAGAGCCAAACUAUAUCAGCAAGUUGCUUAACCUCUCUGAGCUCCAGUUUCCUGCACUGUAAAAUGGGGAAUCAUAAUAUCCAUCAAUCUCCUUAUAAGAUUGGAAAGAUAAAGAAACUAUAUGUAAAAUUCUUAGCACAAUGUUCGAUCCAUGUGCAUGCUCAAUAAGUGGUUAUUCCUCAAAUUAGUUUCAUUUGUAUUGGGAUAAAUCAUUGUUCCCUCCCAUAGGUACAUUUUCUAUUUAACCAGUUGCCAGUUCUCAGAAUCUUCUCCUGCCCCCCACACCACACAGGCUGCAGAUUGUAGGGAUAGAUGACAGAGGAUGGGAGGCUCAUCUCACUCUCUAUUUCAAUACGUUCUACUUCAACAGCAGGGCUUGUUUUUAUUACCUUAUUGAGUUCACAUGGGUAGCUUUUGGCAGCAGCAAUUAUUCUCCUUAUUACUCUACAGAUGAAGAAAUAGAUUUGGCUCUGAUAUGUUGGAUUUUCUCAAGCAAGUCCCAUAUCGAAAAUAAAAGCGUUUAAUUCUAAUCAGAGACAGCCGGGAAAAAAAGAAAAAAAAAAAAAACCUCCUGGCUUCCUGCCUCUUGAAAGCCUCUCCUUCAAAAUGUUUUGAGGACCUGCAAUGUGCCAGGAAUAUUACAGCAAAUGAGUCUUCUUUGGUGGUCCAGCCACACCAGCCCUUAUACUUCACAGCGUGAGUGCCACUAAAUCUGUGUUGCUGAGUCUGCUGUUUGCAUGCAGGAAUGUGAAGGACUGCUCAAGUUGGAGAUACAAAUUGAAGCCAGCCCCAGUUCAAAACUGUUACAAAUGGAGUCUGUAGGCAUGAGGGGCUGACUAUAUAACUCAGAGUUCUCCAGUACUUUACUUUAAUAAAGAACACAAUCUUUAUUAAAGGAUAAGUAAUAAAAAUGUGUUGAUGUGCAACUUAUGGAUCUAUUAUUAAAACUCAACAGUCAUUGCAGCAAUGUUUAGAACUUAAGCAAACAAAAGUUUUGUGAGGGGGCAAUUUUAUCAAUGACAUUGUUUAGAAAUGUUGGUAGAUGGUGAUCAUAAAAAGCAGAUCAAUGUUUUAUUUCACUUGGGUUUUUAAAAAUUAUUUUUAAAAAAUU
rnacentral:lncRNA from 1 species